ensembl:snRNA U4 U4 spliceosomal RNA
AGCUUUGCGAAGUGGCAGUAUCGUAGCCAAUGAGGUUUAUCCGAGGCGCGAUUAUUGCUAAUUAAAAGUAAAUCUUAAUUCUGAACUUAGAGUGGUGAUGGUUACACAACUCCAUGAAUAUACUGAAAAAUACAGAAUUGUA